rnacentral:rRNA from 1 species
UACGUAGGGGCCUAGCGUUGUCCGGAAUUAUUGGGCGUAAAGAGCUCGUAGGUGGUUCGGCAAGUCGGAUGUGAAAUCUCCACGCUUAACGUGGAGGGGCCAUUCGAAACUGCUGUGACUUGAGUCCGGUAGGGGAGUGUGGAAUUCCCGGUGUAGCGGUGAAAUGCGCAGAUAUCGGGAGGAACACCAGCGGCGAAGGCGGCAUCCUGGACUGGUACUGACGCUCAGGAGCGAAAGCGUGGGGAGCGAUCCGG